rfam:Cylindrobasidium torrendii FP15055 ss-10 unplaced genomic scaffold CYLTOscaffold_11, whole genome shotgun sequence.
GCCCGUUUAGCUCAGUGGUAGAGCGCGCCACUCGUACGUCGUGAUGGUGAGGUCGGUUGUUCAAUCCAGCCAAUGGGCA